rnacentral:rRNA from 1 species
AUUGAACGCUGGCGGCAGGCCUAACACAUGCAAGUCGAGCGGAUGAAGGGAGCUUGCUCCUGGAUUCAGCGGCGGACGGGUGAGUAAUGCCUGGGAAUCUGCCUGGUAGUGGGGGAUAACGUCCGGAAACGGGCGCUAAUACCGCAUACGUCCUGAGGGAGAAAGUGGGGGAUCUUCGGACCUCACGCUAUCAGAUGAGCCUAGGUCGGAUUAGCUAGUUGGUGGGGUAAAGGCCUACCAAGGCGACGAUCCGUAACUGGUCUGAGAGGAUGAUCAGUCACACGGGACUGUAAACAGGGUCCGACCCCCUAGGGGGGGAGGAGGGGGGGAAUUUGGGCAAAGGGGGGAAAGCCGAACCCGGCAAGGCCCGUGGGGGGAAAAAGGUUUUGGGUUUGAAAACGCUUUUAAGUGGGGAGAAAGGGAAGUAGGUUAAACCCUGGCUUUUUGGCGGUACCCAAAGAAAAAACCCCGGGUAAAUUUGGG